rnacentral:rRNA from 1 species
AGCGAACGCUGGCGGCAUGCUUAACACAUGCAAGUCGCACGGGCGGGGGCAACUCCGUCAGUGGCGGACGGGUGAGUAACGCGUAGGAAUCUAUCCUUGAAUGGGGGACAACCGUGGGAAACUACGGCUAAUACCGCAUGAUGCCUGAGGGCCAAAGACGAAAGUCGUUUGAGGAGGAGCCUGCGUCUGAUUUGGUAGUUGGUGGGGUAAAGGCCUACCAAGCCUACGAUCAGUAGCUGGUCUGAGAGGAUGAUCAGCCACAUUGGGACUGAGACACGGCCCAAACUCCUACGGGAGGCAGCAGUGGGGAAUAUUGGACAAUGGGCGCAAGCCUGAUCCAGCAAUGCCGCGUGGGUGAAGAAGGUCUUCGGAUUGUAAAGCCCUUUUGGCGGGGACGAUGAUGACGGUACCCGCAGAAUAAGCUCCGGCUAACUUCGUG